rnacentral:rRNA from 1 species
AAGCUCGUAGUUGAAUUUCGCGGUUAGUAAGUUGGUCAUGCCUCUGGUAUGCACUGGCUUUACUGAUUCCUCCUUCUUGAUGAACUGUAAUGUCAUUAAUUUGGUGUUGCAGGGAAUCAGGACUGUUACUUUGAAAAAAUUAGAGUGUUUAAAGCAGGCAUAAGCUUGAAUACAUUAGCAUGGAAUAAUGAAAUAGGACGUUUGAUCCUAUUUUGUUGGUUUCUAGGAUUGACGUAAUGAUUAAUAGGGAUAGUUGGGGGCAUUAGUAUUCAAUUGUCAGAGGUGAAAUUCUUGGAUUUAUUGAAGACUAACUACUGCGAAAGCAUUUGCCAAGGAUGUUUUCAUUAAUCAAGAACGAAAGUUAGGGGAUCGAAGACGAUCAGAUACCGUCGUAGUCUUAACCAUAAACUAUGCCGACUAGGGAUCGGAUGAUGUUAUUUUUAAUGACUCAUUCGGCGCCUUACGGGAAACCAAAGUGUUUGGGUUCCGGGGGGAGUAUGGUCGCAAGGCUGAAACUUAAAGGAAUUGACGGAAGGGCACCACCAGGGGUGGAGCCUGCGGCUUAAUUUGACUCAACACGGGGAAA